rnacentral:rRNA from 1 species
ACUCCUACGGGAGGCAGCAGUGGGAAUAUUGCACAAUGGGGGAAACCCUGAUGCAGCCAUGCCGCGUGUGUGAAGAAGGCCUUCGGGUUGUAAAGCACUUUCAGUAGGAGGAAGGUAUGUAGUACACCUGCAUUAUUGACGUUACCUACAGAAGAAGCACCGGCUAACUCCGUGCCAGCAGCCGCGGUAAUACGGAGGGUGCGAGCGUUAAUCGGAAUUACUGGGCGUAAAGCGCAUGCAGGCGGCCUGUUAAGUCAGAUGUGAAAGCCCGGGGCUUAACCUCGGAAUUGCAUUUGAAACUGGCAGGCUAGAG